rnacentral:rRNA from 1 species
GACGAACGCUGGCGGCGUGCUUAACACAUGCAAGUCGAACGGAAAGGCCCUGCUUUUGUGGGGUGCUCGAGUGGCGAACGGGUGAGUAACACGUGAGUAACCUGCCCUUGACUUUGGGAUAACUUCAGGAAACUGGGGCUAAUACCGGAUAGGAGCUCCUGCUGCAUGGUGGGGGUUGGAAAGUUUCGGCGGUUGGGGAUGGACUCGCGGCUUAUCAGCUUGUUGGUGGGGUAGUGGCUUACCAAGGCUUUGACGGGUAGCCGGCCUGAGAGGGUGACCGGCCACAUUGGGACUGAGGUACGGCCCAGACUCCUAAGGGAGGCAGAAGUGGGGAAUAUUGCAAAAUGGGCGGAAGCCUGAUGCAGCAACGCCGCGUGCGGGAUGACGGCCUUCGGGUUGUAAACCGCUUUCGCCUGUGACGAAGCGUGAGUGACGGUAAUGGGUAAAGAAGCACCGGCUAACUACGUG